rnacentral:pre_miRNA from 1 species
AAACUUUGUCCUAAGUCAAACUUCUUAAAAUUUGACCAACUUUAUAAAACAAUUUAUCAACAUCUAGAAUAUCAAUUAGGUAUACUAUGAUAAUAUAUAUCAUGAUGGAUGUAAUUAAACUAAUUUGGAGUCAUAAAUGUUGGUAGAUUUUUCUGUAAAUUUGGUCAAAGUUUCAGAAGUUUGACUUAGGACAAAGUUAG